GGGAUUAGUUGUAGCAAUACGUCUAUGAGAGUAGCGCACGGGUGCGUAACGCGUAUGCAACCUGCCUCCAACCGGGGAAUAGCCCCUCGAAAGAGGGAUUAAUACCGCAUAAAAUAGUGAAUAGGCAUCUAUUUACUAUUAAAACUACGGUGGUUGGAGAUGGGCAUGCGUGACAUUAGCUAGUUGGUAGGGUAAUGGCCUACCAAGGCUACGAUGUCUAGGGGGUCUGAGAGGAUGUCCCCCCACACUGGUACUGAGAUACGGACCAGACUCCUACGGGAGGCAGCAGUAGGGAAUAUUGGUCAAUGGGCGAAAGCCUGAACCAGCCAUGCCGCGUGCAGGAUGACGGCCCUAUGGGUUGUAAACUGCUUUUGCACGGGAAGAAACCCCACUACGUGUAGUGGGUUGACGGUACCGUGAGAAUAAGGAUCGGCUAACUACGUG
rnacentral:rRNA from 1 species